AGAUAGGUUGCAGUAGGCGUGGCCAAUUAUUGCUUCCGCCAUGUUGGAGUACAACUCGGAGUACAAGAGCUAAUGAGCUGGAACAGAAAUGCUGAUUGACUGACCUGGGUAGCUGUGGCAGUGAGAGAAAAAAAAGAAGUAGAUGAAGCAAUAGUUGACCACUCUGUGACACCUGAAACUGACUAGACUACUUAGUACUGCAAUGACUUUCACACACAACAAAUGCACAUUUAUUUCUGUUUUAGUUUUGAAAGAGGA
rnacentral:lncRNA from 1 species